rnacentral:tRNA from 1 species
AUUUUAAUAGUUUAAGUCAAAACACCGGUCUUGUAAACCGGAGCUGGAGUAACACUCCUUAAAGUG